rnacentral:pre_miRNA from 1 species
GGGGGGAGGCCAGAUCCUGGGCUGUGUCCCUGGUGCCCUGUGCUCCCAGGUCUGCGCUGUUGGAAUCGCGCUCCCGGCCACGCAGGCCCCU